rnacentral:rRNA from 1 species
GAUGAACGCUGGCGGCGUGCCUAAUACAUGCAAGUCGAGCGAACAGACGAGGAGCUUGCUCCUCUGACGUUAGCGGCGGACGGGUGAGUAACACGUGGAUAACCUACCUAUAAGACUGGGAUAACCUCGGGAAACCGGAGCUAAUACCGGAGAAUAUAUUGAACCGCAUGGGUCAAUAGUGAAAGACGGUGUUGCUGUCACUUAUAGAUGGAUCCGCGCCGCAUUAGCUAGUUGGGAAGGUAAAGGCUUACCAAGGCGACGAUGCGUAGCCGACCUGAGAGGGUGAUCGGCCACCCUGGAGCUGAGCCACCGUCCAGACUCCUACGGGAGGCAGCAGUAGGGAAUCUUCCGCAAUGGGCGGAAGCCUGACGGAGCAACGCCGCGUGAGUGAUGAAGGUCUUCGGAUCGUAAAACUCUGUUAUUAGGGAAGAACAAAUGUGUAAGUAACUAUGCACGUCUUGACGGUACCUAAUCAGAAAGCCACGGCUAACUACGUG